UACCAGCACCCCGAGUGGUCGGGACGUUUAUUGGGCCUAAAGCAUCCGUAGCCGGUUCUACAAGUCUUCCGUUAAAUCCACCUGCUUAACAGAUGGGCUGCGGAAGAUACUAUAGAGCUAGGAGGCGGGAGAGGCAAGCGGUACUCGAUGGGUAGGGGUAAAAUCCGUUGAUCCAUUGAAGACCACCAGUGGCGAAGGCGGCUUGCCAGAACGCGCUCGACGGUGAGGGAUGAAAGCUGAGGGAGCAAACCGG
rnacentral:rRNA from 1 species